UACGGAAGGCAGCAGUGGGGAAUAUUGCACAAUGGGCGCAAGCCUGAUGCAGCCAUGCCGCGUGUAUGAAAAAGGCCUUCGGGUUGUAAAGUACUUUCAGUCGUGAGGAAGGUGUUAAGGUUAAUAACCUUAGCAAUUGACGUUAGCGACAGAAGAAGCACCGGCUAACUCCGUGCCAGCAGCCGCGGUAAUACGGAGGGUGCAAGCGUUAAUCGGAAUUACUGGGCGUAAAGGGCACGCAGGCGGUUAAUUAAGUUGGAUGUGAAAUCCCCGGGCUUAACCUGGGAAUGGCAUUCAAGACUGGUUAGCUAGAGUCUUGUAGAGGGGGUAGAAUUCCAUGUGUAGCGGUGAAAUGCGUAGAGAUGUGGAGGAAUACCGGUGGCGAAGGCGGCCCCUGGACAAAGACUGACGCUCAUGUGCGAAAGCGUGGGGAGCAAACAGGGAUUAGAUACC
rnacentral:rRNA from 1 species